UUGAUUUGAAUAAGCGUUAAUUUCCUACAAUACACUAUUUCCUAUUUUAUUUAUAACUUUACCUACCGAGUUUUAACUUUUCUUUUCUGACUUUUUUCCUAACUAGGUUUACCUGUUUUGUUUUUUUAUUUACCAAAAUAACUCCUUAUUUAACUGCCGUCUAUUUUUUUUUUUUCGUUUCUUCAUGUCGUCUUUGCCUGAAGCUUAUCGUUAACAAAAAAUUACAGUUUUGCUUAUCUUCAUCUUAGUUCUCCAAUUUUUCCGAUGACUAUGGUUGACGAAGAGGCGGUCUAGGUUUAUUAACGGCCACCUGUGACUUCUCUUGUUGUACUUUGUAGAUGGAAGUUCUUGACGAGUAGUGAGCCGAGUCCAAUAUUCAGAGUAUUUAUUGUUCAUGGAAGAAUUCGAUGUCGAAGAGAAGCUGUGAAGAUUGAUUUGAGAGUGAUUGAAGAUGUGUUCUAUUGAGGAAGAAGAGCAAGAAGAAUUACACCGGAAGAUACUCUACUGCACUUUUGGACUGCAUCAAUUUUGUUGGAGGAACAAGAAUUGGGUUCAAUCAUCUCUACGGUUAAGGUUAUUGAAUUUCUGGUUUUAUAGAUUUUUAUAGUUCCCAAUUUUCACUUAGAAUGAUUUGUAUUUAACAAUGCAGGUUGUCGAUCACUUAAAAAUGAGUAUUCUGCAUGUCUUAGGACCGAGCAAGUUUAUAAUUGGUGUUCUCUUCAUACAUCUGAAGCAUUAUAGAUUGAUAAUCCCAUAAAUUUCUAGUUAGUUAUCGGAACAGCUUAAUUUCGUAUAAUUCAUUUGGUAUUCUGAAUUAUUUUAGGUAUUUUAUUGCUAAUAAAUUAUUUCUGUUCAACUAAGAAAAUUGAAUGCUUGACAUUCUCUGUGUUUUAGAUCGGCUGCUGCUGGUUUGCUGCUUCCUACAUCGCUUGUUUCUUUUUUACGACAUGUUGUGGCUGCCUAUCUAUCCGUUUCUAUUGCUAGAAACUUGACAUGAUUGACUUCUUCCUCUAAUUUCAAGUCUGCUGCUAUAGGAGUUGACGGAACAUCUGCUGAUUGUGUUUCUAUAGUGUUUAUUACUGGUUUUUAUUAUUUUUUAGUAUUUCUUUGGUGUUUUCCCUAUGAUUUUCAGUGUUUUUUCAAUAUUUGAGUUAGCACUUGAAUUUCCAAGUGACAAAUGUUAUCAAUGUAAUGAUCAGGCAUGUACAUAGAUGGUCAUGUCAUACGAUAGUAUGUUUCCACCAUCUAGGUAUUAUUUCAAAAAGUUAUCCGAAGACUAUAAGAAUAAAUUUAGAGUCUUGCCUCGGCCGCAUCAGAUUACUACUGAAUUUGGAGGCAAAGUGAGGCAUUCUUAAUCAUCAAAUUUUCUUAAAUGAUCACUUUUGCUUUUUCUACAAGAAUAACACUUUUAGGUAUAAGAAUCAGUUCUGCUUAAUAUGAACUUUCAAAUGUCUUCUAUAUAUUCAAUUUGUGAGUUUGUGGCUCGAAUUUACUUAGUACAUAUGCUUCGAUGUAUGGGCAUGGAAGGCUCUGUGACUCUACGAUUUAACAUUCAUGUCAUAUUUCUGCAAAUUAUAGAUCUUAAGUGUAUCUUUAGUGUUUUUUAAGUGUAUUUUUAGUGUAUUAUUAGUGUAUUUUAGUUUGUUUAAAGUGUAUUUUGUAGGUUGAUUUUAAGUGUAUUUUUAAUGUAUCAAUUUUAAAGCUUUUUGUAUUCUUCUAAUAGUUUUGAGUUUAUCAUGAUACUAUCAAUUUUCAAUUGCAGGAGACCUUUACCUACUUAUUUUUCAAGUUACUUGUGGUAGCAUAUGCAUUUUACAUGUUUAAUAUCUUUGCCAUUCAUUUUUUAUUUAUUAUUUAAAAAGUCUCGUUUGCACCUAUUUUCAUUAGAACAUCAUGUCUAAAUGAUUUCUAAUUGGACAUGUUUCUAUUUGAUUCAAUGAUUGCUGGUUGUUCAACUGGUGCUGUUGUAUAUGUUGCUGUUGUGGGUUAUUUGCAGUUAGGGAAGUUUACAAGUGAUGAGUCCCUCGUAUAUAAUGUAAGUCUGCAUCAAGUUUAUGAGCAUGACACCACUAAUCUUCCCCUCCAUGUUUUCGAUCUACAUGUCAUUUUUGUUGGUCUUGGCAUAGUGGACUCGUUUAAGGUGAUUAGAUCAAUAAUUAAACUUGUCUAGAAAAAGUUUGGUUGAGGUAUUUCAACUUGUCAUAAAUUAGUUCUUAAAGUUUGUUCUGCUAUAAGAAAUGUUAUAAUGCCCAAGUAUUUUAUUUACAAUGGCCUGGUGAGCAUAGUUUGAAUAAGGUUAAACAUGAAUUUGAAUUAAUACAGUAGGUUAGAAUAUAAAAAAAUUAUCUGAAUAUGACUUUGGUGUUUUUAAAGUGUUUAUUAGGUGUUAUUGAAAAAUAUAUGUAUGAAAAGUUUCUUGAAAUGUUUAUUUACAUUUUCUUGUUGUUUUAGUUUAUGCGUUCUGUUCUUAAACAAAAUGAUUCUUGAAUUGCUUUUAUAAUUUAGUGUUCUUGAAUUAUCAUACAGUUGGUAUGUGAAUUCUUGAUUAAUCAUAAUUUAUUUAUCAUGUUUUGUUAAGCAUCAGUAAUGGACCCUGGAAAAUUAACAUACAAGACAAAUGAAGCUAUAGCUUCAACUAAUGAAUUAGCCUAACUUAAACUUAGCAUGUGACUUUCGGUUUAAUUUAUGUUUAUUAAGUGUUAUUUAGGUGAAUCCUUGGUGUAUUUUUGGUGUUUUUGGGGUAUAAUUUUAGUGUUUAUUGUUAUGAAUUGUAGGGCUGUAAUUGUGCCGACAUUUGCUAUUGGUGGAUGAAGUGAUCCAAGCUUGACGUAACAUGAGGAAUCCAACUUAUAUUUAAUACAUUUGAGUGUGUAUUUUUAGCCUCAUGUAUAUUUCUUAACGAUGCAUUGCUAUGGAACAAAGUCCGAAAUGCGAAUGUUGAGAUAUCUCUUAUUAGUUGCCUUUCAA